rnacentral:tRNA from 3 species
GCGGCUGUGGUCCAGGGGUUAGGACAUGAGCUUCCCAAGCUUGUAGCCCGGGUUCGAUUCCCGGCAGCCGCA